GUACCCAUGACGUAGUGGUUAUCACAUCCGCCUAACACGCGGAAGCUACCACGUACGAGACCUGGUGGAUGCA